GACGAACGCUGGCGGCGUGCUUAACACAUGCAAGUCGAACGGAAAGGCCCUGCUUUUGUGGGGUGCUCGAGUGGCGAACGGGUGAGUAACACGUGAGUAACCUGCCCUUGACUUUGGGAUAACUUCAGGAAACUGGGGCUAAUACCGGAUAGGAGCUCCUGCUGCAUGGUGGGGGUUGGAAAGUUUCGGCGGUUGGGGAUGGACUCGCGGCUUAUCAGCUUGUUGGUGGGGUAGUGGCUUACCAAGGCUUUGACGGGUAGCCGGCCUGAGAGGGUGACCGGCCACCUUGGGCCUGAGAUACGGCCCAGACUCCUACGGGAGGCAGCAGUGGGGAAUCUUGCACAAUGGGCGGAAGCCUGAUGCGGCAACGCCGCGUGCGGGAUGACGGCCUUCGGGUUGUAAACCGCUUUCGCCUGUGACGAAGCGUGAGUGACGGUAAUGGGUAAAGAAGCACCGGCUAACUACGUG
rnacentral:rRNA from 1 species